UACAGAGGGUGCGAGCGUUGUUCGGAAUCACUGGGCGUAAAGCGCGCGCAGGCGGGCGUGUAAGUCAGAAGUGAAAUUCCGGGGCUCAACCCCGGAGCUGCUCCUGAUACUGCAGGUCUGGAGACCGGUAGAGGCUGGUGGAAUUCCCGGUGUAGCGGUGGAAUGCGUAGAGAUCGGGAAGAACACCCGUGGCGAAGGCGGCCAGCUGGGCCGGUUCUGACGCUGAGGCGCGAAAGCGUGGGGAGCGAACCGG
rnacentral:rRNA from 1 species